AAAUGUAUAUAUACAUAAUAUGUCGCUGAUUAUUCUUCAUUGUUUCUCGUUGGCCUUUUUAUUUUUUUUUAUUUUUUUUACACUUUUACCAAAUUUAUGCA
rnacentral:ribozyme from 14 species